rnacentral:lncRNA from 1 species
CUGAUUGUCAAUUUCACCUGCUUUAUCAUUGAUCGAUAUCGUUUUACUCUGUUUAAUAAACAAAAUUGAUGGAAACACUAACAUGCUAAAUUCUUUGAAUGUUUUGAUUUUGACAAGACGCCAUUUUGUGAAAAGAUUUUAAACUGGUCCUUCGAUUAAUUUCCUUGUAAUGCAUUCCAAAAUAGUAAACCAGUAAACCAGAAGUAAACUUAUUUUUCUUAGUAUAAGCCUCCUUUAAUUAGGAGCACCUCCAUAUGAAGUUUAACCUUAACUUAAAAAAUAUCCAAUAUAUGUACACGUUACAGUAUAUAUACAUAAACGAUAAUAGUGCCAUGAAUGGCAUAUUUACAGGGACCUUUUAAAUAGAAAUACAGGCGGGAAAUUUAAAAACUCAAAAUGUUUUAAAACAUUACACUUUUAUUGAUUGCUGUCUUGAGCUCUGAUUCCAUCAACAACUGUCAGUCCAUACUUUACCAAUGCAAUAUAACCAUGCAUUUCCCUUUCUUUGAUUCGUAGCAUAAUUUAUGUGCCCUUUUGUUAAUCUUUUGCAUGCUCUAGGUGCCCUUUUUUAUUGGAGUUACCAUUCCCACUGUGUGGUAGGGGAAACACUAAUUUUUGUACUCUUUAUUCUGACAAAACACAAGCAUAGAUAGAUGUCAUCAAAUAAAACAGUCAGAUAUGUUUUAGUUUUUUUUCAAAGCAAAUUUCUAU